rnacentral:lncRNA from 1 species
GAUGCUGAUGCGUCAGCUUACGCUAAAGUGACCUCUCUUUUCUACGAGAGCAAGAAGGAAGCCAUGCAGUUUAUAAGAUCCGUUAACGAGCUGCAAAAAAUCAUGCAUUUGUUAGUUUCUGAAGAUUCCGGUUCGGAAAAGCUCGUUCUAGCUCAAAAUUUGAUGCAAAUCGCAAUGAAGAGGCUUCAGAAAGAGUUUUACCAGAUUUUAUCGAUGAAUCGGGCUCACUUGGAUCCAGAAUCGGUUUCCACCAGAUCAUCAAGGACCUCCGCCAGGUCAAGCUUGUCUGAUUAUGAUGAUGAAGGUUCAACGGAAGAUGAAAU